rnacentral:rRNA from 1 species
UACGGAGGGUGCAAGCGUUGUCCGGAUUUAUUGGGUUUAAAGGGUGCGUAGGUGGGAAUGUAAGUCAGUGGUGAAAUCUCCGUGCUUAACAUGGAAACUGCCAUUGAUACUAUGUUUCUUGAAUUUUCUGGAGGUUAGCGGAAUAUGUCAUGUAGCGGUGAAAUGCUUAGAUAUGACAUAGAACACCAAUUGCGAAGGCAGCUGACUACAGGGACAUUGACACUGAUGCACGAAAGCGUGGGGAUCAAACAGG